rnacentral:misc_RNA from 1 species
GAUGAAGAACGCAGCGAAAUGCGAUAAGUAAUGUGAAUUGCAGAAUUCAGUGAAUCAUCGAAUCUUUGAACGCACAUUGCGCCCGUCAGUAUUCUGGCGGGCAUGCCUGUUCGAGCGUCAUUACGCCCCUCAAGUCCCCUGUGGACUUGGUGUUGGGGAUCGGCGAGGCUGGUUUUCCAGCACAGCCGUCCCUUAAAUUAAUUGGCGGUCUCGCCGUGGCCCUCCUCUGCGCAGUAGUAAAACACUCGCAACAGGAGCCCGGCGCGGUCCACUGCCGUAAAACCCCCCAACUUUUUAUAGUUGACCUCGAAUCAGGUAGGACUACCCGCUGAACUUAGGCAUAUCAAUAAGCGGAGGA